AGCUCCAGUAGCGUAUAUUAAAGUUGUUGCAGUUAAAAAGCUCGUAGUUGGAUCUCGGGUCGUCGACAGCGGUUCGGGUUCAUGCCCGCCUACUGCUGCCGACACCUAACCGGCGGGAGGCGCCGGGUGCCCUUGACUGGGUCGCCCGUCGCGCCCGCCCAGUUUACUUUGAAAAAAUUAGAGUGUUCAAAGCAGGCUCUGACGCCUGAAUAAUGGUGCAUGGAAUAAUGGAAUAGGACCUCGGUUCUAUUUUGUUGGUCUCCGGAACUCGAGGUAAUGAUUGAGAGGGACAGACGGGGGCAUUCGUAUUGCGGUGUUAGAGGUGAAAUUCUUGGAUCGCCGCAAGACGAACUACUGCGAAAGCAUUUGCCAAGAAUGUUUUCAUUAAUCAAGAACGAAA
rnacentral:rRNA from 1 species